UACGUAGGUGGCAAGCGUUGUCCGGAAUUAUUGGGCGUAAAGCGCGCGCAGGCGGUCCUUUAAGUCUGAUGUGAAAGCCCACGGCUCAACCGUGGAGGGUCAUUGGAAACUGGGGGACUUGAGUGCAGGAGGAGAAGAGUGGAAUUCCACGUGUAGCGGUGAAAUGCGUAGAGAUGUGGAGGAACACCAGUGGCGAAGGCGGCGACCUGGUCCUUUUACUGACGCUGAGGCGCGAAAGCGUGGGGAGCAAACAGGA
rnacentral:rRNA from 1 species